rnacentral:rRNA from 1 species
GACAAACGCUGGCGGCGUGCCUAAUACAUGCAAGUAGAACGCUGAAGGAGGAGCUUGCUUCUCUGGAUGAGUUGCGAACGGGUGAGUAACGCGUAGGUAACCUGCCUGGUAGCGGGGGAUAACUAUUGGAAACGAUAGCUAAUACCGCAUAAGAGUAGAUGUUGCAUGACAUUUGCUUAAAAGGUGCAAUUGCAUCACUACCAGAUGGACCUGCGUUGUAUUAGCUAGUUGGUGAGGUAACGGCUCACCAAGGCGACGAUACAUAGCCGACCUGAGAGGGUGAUCGGCCACACUGGGACUGAGACACGGCCCAGACUCCUACGGGAGGCAGCAGUAGGGAAUCUUCGGCAAUGGACGGAAGUCUGACCGAGCAACGCCGCGUGAGUGAAGAAGGUUUUCGGAUCGUAAAGCUCUGUUGUAAGAGAAGAACGAGUGUGAGAGUGGAAAGUUCACACUGUGACGGUAUCUUACCAGAAAGGGACGGCUAACUACGUG